rnacentral:rRNA from 1 species
AUUGAACGCUGGCGGCGUGCCUAACACAUGCAAGUCGAGCGGCAGCGCGGGAGCAAUCCUGGCGGCGAGCGGCGGACGGGUGAGUAACGCUUGGGAAUCUGCCUGUUAGUGGGGGACAACCCGGGGAAACUCGGGCUAAUACCGCAUACGCACUACGGUGGAAAGCCGGGGACCGCAAGGCCUGGCGCUAACAGAUGAGCCCAAGUCGGAUUAGCUAGUUGGUAGGGUAACGGCCUACCAAGGCGACGAUCCGUAACUGGUCUGAGAGGGCGGACGGCCACACUGGGACUGAGACACGGCCCAGACUCCUACGGGAGGCAGCAGUGGGGAAUUUUUCGCAAUGGGGGAAACCCUGACGAAGCAACGCCGCGUGGAGGAUGAAGGCCUUC